rnacentral:lncRNA from 1 species
CAGUCGGAUUUCUCCAAUAGAAAUUUUUCGUCCGGGCUUCUAUAGCAGAUGACUUUCAUUUGCAGCAUCAACACCUAAGGCACCCAAGAACAGUUAACCCAUCAGCAACCUCAAAAAUAUCCGAGCUUCUCUUAGAUUGCUGAGACAGAGAGCUAUUCCGUUUCACCAGACGUCCCAACCAAGCUUCAGUUGUCUGGCCCGAACUCCCCGGCA